rnacentral:lncRNA from 1 species
CACACCUGUUGCAUAUGGUAGUUUCCAGGCUAGGUAUUGAAUUGGAGCUGCAGCUGGCUGCCUAAGCCACAUCCACAGCAAUGUGGGAUCCCAGCCACAACUGCAACUUAUGCUGUGGCUUAUGGAAAUGCUGGGUCCUUAACCCAGUGACCAAGACUAGGGAUUGAACCCACAUCCUCAUGGAUAAUAAUCAGGUUAUUACCCACUGAGCCACAACUGUGUGCAGAAACUGGGGAAAUCCAAGGAACUUCUGUAGCCUAGUUAAUUGUAGUGUGACAAUGUCCAUUUUCUGGGUCUGGUAAUGUGUUAUAUUUAUUUAAGAUGUUAUCAUUAGGAAAAGCUGGGUAAUGUGUACACAGCUACUUUCUGUUCUAUUUUUUUAACUCCUUGUGUGUUUAUGAUUAUUUCACAAUAAAAAAUCUUCAAAAAAUAAAAUCCUUUAGAAAUUUGGUGUGUCUUUUAAAAAAAGUAAGGAAAAAUAAUUAAAGAAAGAAGAGAGAAAAAGGAAGACUCUAGCUAAUUCCUAUGAGGAAAUUUUCCUUUUUUUUAUACCAGAAACAGAAAAGAAAAUAUAAGAUGCUAUAUUAACAAGUUAUGAUAUUAAUUUUUUUAAAAGGCUUAAGAAAAUGUAAAUGAAUUUUCUCUGUGCUAGUAAAUGAUAACAUUAAAAUUACUUAUUUCACUUUUGUUUUAGUCUUCGGUUUCUGUAUUAGUUCUGUAAUUCUGCCAAUAUUUAGUCACUACCAUUAAGUUAUGACUGAAUUGCAAUACAAUUAAAUAUGUUAUUUAAAUUCACCUUUUAUAAGAUGUUAUAAAGUAAUGUGGUGCUAUGACACAUAUCUAAAAAAACUGUACUUCCUCUUAAAAUAGAACUGAGUUUGCUCCUAAGAUGUUUAACUGAAGUGAUUAAAUGGACUUAAUUAUAACAUACUGAUUUUUAAAUGGUCUAGCCACAUUUGUGUUGUUACUUUUUUUUUACAAGAUUAUACCAUAGGGAUAUAUCACUGACAAAACAUUUCAAAAGCAGUAUAUGAAAAUUUUCAACAUCAGGGUAAAUUUUAAGUCCCAAUAAUAAAAUAAUAUUGGUAAAUUCAGUUAACAAAAGUCAUUAAGAAUCACUUUUCAAAGUUUAUACUAAUAUAGUUUCUGUUAUCAACAUAUAGUAGACAAAUAACUUUCAGAAUUGUAUAGGUCAUUAAAAGGAAAAUUGAAAUAAGGCACUUUCAUCAUUAAAUUUUGCUCAUACAAGAUAGAUGUUACUUCUAGUUACAAGAACAAUUAGGUUUAUAUUCUUGACAAUUUACAGUAGUCAAAAGCUUAGAGAUAUUCCUCUGCAUGGAUCAUAGAAGUUGUGAUGACUUUAUCGUUAAACCUAUUAUUGCCUAUGCAAUAAUAUUUAACAUUUAAAAGAAAAAUAAAUUAGUUAAUUCUCCACUUUUGAAUGGCCUGUGUGUUCUCAUUAUUCAAUGGCAAUUAGUAUGCAUAACUUUAAGCCAGCAAUUGUUACUUUCCUUUUCUCUCUAGGUCUCCUAAAUAAUUUUAUUCCUUUUUAAAAGAACAAUUUCUUAAAGACUAUCCAUAAGAAAAAAUCUAGAACUCAACAUAGUAAAGAGCUCCACUCAUAUGAGAUUUUGCAGUUUCUGAAAUAAUAAAUACUCAUGUAGAAAGCUUUAAUUUUAAUUAAAAAUGUCUAUGGCUGCUUCGCAAGAAAUGAUAGGCCUUAAGUUUCUUGUGAGGAGAGUAGGCAGUAGCUAUAAGCUUUUCUGGGAAAUCAAAACUUUUGGGUCAAGCUACACAGGUUGACAUGGGAGGAUGAUACUAGUACAGGAGAAGAGAGAUGGAGACAAAAGAUACAGCAGUUGUUGGCCAGAUGUUCUUGAGUCAUUCUUUCUUUCCAUAGUAACAUACUGAGAGAUGACUAUAUCCUUAGAGCUUCUAGACACAGAGGAUAUACAGAUGAAAAAAAAAUUGACAAGAUGUCUGCUUUGAUUGUGCUUACACCGUAAAUGGAGACAAACAAAAUCAAGGAGGCAGAAAAUAACUGCCAUGGAAGGCAGAGACAAAGAGCUGAGUUAUAAAAUAAUCUUAAUGCAUUGUGCAGGUGGAGGAGGCAGCCCUAGACUAUGUGGUCAGACCUCUUCUUGGAGCUCUGAGGCAGUAUAGAUGAGAGAAAGUGCAGAAGAGAAUGUCUACUCUAGAGAGACACUCUGUAGACUGUGUUAAAUCUUUCCACAUCAAGGAGGAUUUGCUGACUCUCCUCUUGUAUGAAUAUUGUCAGAAGAUUACAUAAGAAAUAGUCCAUCCUACCUUAUCUACCUUCAUUGCCCUUCUAUCCUCUGAGAAAAAGAGAGAUUUUGACAAAAAGCUUUAAAACUUGGUUCUUUUACUUGCACUUGCUGAAUUCCCUUGGGUUUCCUUGGAUGUUAUCUAUACUAUCCACUUCACAGAAAUGUUGGGAAGAUUAAACAAAAUCAUAGUUAAGAACAUGCACUGAAUAUUGCAUUUUAUUCAUUAAUGAAAGAUAUUCUAGUAAAAACAAAAUAUAAUCUAUUCCAUGAUGAUACGGAACCAUCCCUAUCCUUCUUUGCAAAAGGAAGGAGAAAUAAUCAUGUAGUCUUUUGAUUCAGGUAUGUACAGUUCUAAAUUUCAGAUGUUUCACUUCUUGCUGUGUGAUCUUAGGAAAAUAUCUUAAUUACUGAGCCCCAGUGUCCUCAUACACACAUCAGGUUUAAAGCGUGGUGAAUCAUUGUUGAAAUAAUACUGUGCAUAUUAAUCAUUGAUAGACUAAAUCACAGUAGCAAUAGAUUAUUAAAUGAUAAUGCCAAGUGAUUAAAAUGAAAAUAUAAAAUCCACUUUUUGAAAUUCAUCUUCUUUUAAAAAUAUAACACCAUAAAUGAAAAAACAAACAAAAUUCUUAUGGACUGGAUAUAUAUUCAAGCCAUGCUACAUGUGUAUAAGUUAUUUAAAAAAUAGUCAUUGUUAGGAUUUUUCUGGAAGUAGCUUGUUACUUUGAAUGAUAACACUAUUUCCAUAAAUUGUAAGGCACAAUAGGUAAGGCACACGUACACACACAAAUAUUGUGAGCAGUGGCAGCGUAUUUAGUUAUUGGGGCUUUCACUACAAUAUGCCUGGGUGUGCCUCCAACUGAUGCUAAAUAUGAAGCAUUUGAAGUCUCUUGGAGAAAAGAGUUCCAAAGAGUUGGAAAGGGAAGGUGUUUUCAGUUCAGCACAGCAUGCUCCUUGCAGUAGCAAGUAGCUCUGAGGGCUUCCUGCUUGGUUGCUCACUGAGAGAACUAUGUUAAAAUAUGUUGGUAUUCCAGAAAGAUAAGUUCACCUCAAACACUAUAUUUCUUCAAUUUCCAAAAUAGUAGUGAUUUCAUCUAUGUUAAAAAAUCACAGAGUAAAAUAUUGCCAUUUCUCACUCUGUUAUAAUUUAUUAUCUCCAUGUGAAUGUACAUUCACAUUUUAGAUAAUGUAUACAUUACUUUUGAAUUACAAUACCUGAUAUGAAUUCAAACACAUAUCAAAGAAGCCACCACAUUUACAGCCUCUUGAAAAUCACAAACUUAAAUGCUCUAAUAUGAUUAUAACUUAAUACUAACACUGAAGGUAUUAUUUUCCUGUUAUUUUCUUUCACCAAUUGCUCUGAUUUAUGGUAGAGUUAUAAGAGCAAAACACCAGAAUAUAUACUAACUAUACUAUACUUAGUAUAUUUUUAAAUAUAAGCCACAUCACAUCUAGCCUAUAAAAUGGGGAAAAAAUAAUAACUUCAGAGAUUGUGCUAAGAGUCAAAUGAGACAAUGUGCAUGAGAUUGCUUUGUAAAUUUAAGGGCCUGCCUUGCCACUAUUAUGUUACACUAUGUAUCUCUUGUUAAGGACAUUCCUCCUGUAUAUGUAUAGAACAGUGUUUGCUGCUUUUUAAAUCUCAGUGUGGAUUUUAUCAAAACAAAGUUCACUUAAAGAUUCUUUUUCAGUCCUAUAAUUCUAUAAAAUAUAUUCAGGUAAUUAUAAACUAUAGACAGAUAAAAAAGAAAUGGAGAGGGAAAGAGAGUCUGGGGAAUGAGGGGAGGGUAGGGAUUAGUAACAGGAUGGAUGAAUGGAAAAUGGACAGGUAGACAUCCAAAAGGAUGGAGAGAUAGCAUAUGUAAUCUUUGUCAAAUUAAUUCUCUUCUUUAAAUUUUAUCAUAUGUAAAAUGGGACAGUAAUAGUACUUAUAUGAUGGAAUUGUUGUGAGCAUGAAAUUAGCUAAUCCUGGCACAUAGUAAGAGUUAAGUAAAUAUUAUUUUUCAUUGUAGUUGUUAUUUGGCUCUUCAACAGUCUGUCACAUAUUUCCAUGUAAUUUUUAUGUGUAUAUUAUAUAUAGCCUAAUAAUGAUAGUUAUCAGUAAUUGAGCACCUUCUGUUUCUAAAUGCAGAUGUUUCAUGCACUGUAAGACGUAUAAUCAUGAAAAUGAUCCUUUAAAAUACUUACUUGGGAUGCCACUUUACAGUUGAGAGCAUCAAGACUUAAAGCAUGUGUUUAAAUUACCCAAGAUCUUAGAGUUGCUAAGUUGCAAAGGUGAGAAUAGAAUAUAGAACCAACGACAGCAGGAUGUCUGUUCUAGCUCAGACUUCUAUUUGCUACACAAAGUCUGUGAGCUGAAGUUUGCCCCUCAUGGUAGAACUUACAUCUCAUAGGGCUGUUGUGCAGAUUAAAUGAGACAAUGCCUGAAGGUGCUAAGCAGAAUAUCUGGCAUACAAUAAUCUAAUAGAAAGUAGCUACCAUCAUUGUUAGUGUCAUUACUAUUAUUACAUUCUUCUUUAUCAUCAAUAUGAUCAUCAUCUUCAUCUGUCUAGCUCUAAAACACAAGAUGUUUCCAUCAUCCUAUGCUAAUUCACCUGGGCACACAUCUUAUUUAUUGUUAUAUAGCAGAAGUAAUACAACAAACUUGGAAAAUUGGGCGAAAUCAUACUGAUGGUCACUGGACCAAAUAGUAAUAUUUACCUUCCUUCUCUCAUUAUGUACAACUUAUAUGUUCUUUGUGUAACACAGCUCAUUAAUCUCAUCUUAUUUUGAGUAAAAAAAUCAAAAUGUGUUAUUUUCAAAUUAUAUCUUACUAUUCUGAUAAGGUGUGUAAAGUUUAAAAGUACACUAUCAUUUGAUUUUUGGAUAAAUUGUAUAAAAUCAAGAACUAUUACACUUCUUUCUUAACUUUGUAAUGUGAAUUUGUAGACAUCUAUAAAAGUAGUCAACAUAAUACAAUAAACUUCCAUAUACGCACCAUCUAGGUCCAGCAAUUAUCAACUCAGGGCCAGUCUUGUUUUAUCUAUAUCCCACCAAGAUUCAUCCAUCCCCACAGCCAGAUUUAUAUUAUUUUGCAACAGAUCCUAGGUAAUGCUUUUUUUUUGAUAUUAAGAUACUGAGAUAAUUAGUUAUUUCAGUUGACAUAACUAGUAAACGACAAAAUUGUUGCUUAAAAUAGAUCUCAGUAUUUCUGUGUUUCACUAUCAUUAUACUAGAGGUAUCAUCUUUAUGAUAUAUGUAAUAUGCAGUAAACAAUUAUAUACUUUACUGACUCACAUAUGGAUUUGGGUGGACACUUAAAAUAAUUGACAGUUUGGUUUUAUGUAUAAAUUAGAAUCAUCUAAUAUCCCUUCUUAAUAGAUAAGGUAAUAAUUCACAAACAUGGAUUUUUAGAAAAAAUAUAUAAUUUAAAAUAAAACAGCUGUAUAAACUACAUUGUAAACUUAACGGGAAAAAUAAGCAUUUAAAAAAUGGGGAUUUUUUAAAGUGUGUAUGUAUAUGUGGCAUAUGUGUUAGCAUAGACAAAAGGUCAGAAAGUUACACAUCAAAAUGUUAGUUGUGGAUUCCAACUGAUGCUUAGAUUUUCAUAGUAGCAUACUGAUAAAAAAGCUAGCCCUGUAGUCUUACUGCCUGGGUUAGAAUUCUCACUUUGCCACUUACUAAAUGUGUAGACUCAAACAAGUUUCUUAACUCCUAGCUACAUUUCAUCAUUUUUAUUAUGAGAAUAAUAGUGAUAUUUACUUUGCAUGUUUAUUUAGAAGAUUAAAUAAGUGAACUAUAUAAACUACUUAGAUCUAUGCAUGUUAUAGAUUACUGUUAAUUAGUAUUUCCACUACUACACGAGGCUAUCAUUUUAAUAAUAGGAAACUGAUUGUUUGAGAGGUCAAAAAUGAGGAGGAUAAGAUUUGUUACGAUAUUUUGAAAAUUUCAGGUAAUUGUUAUUUUGUUAACUGAUAGUGUCUCGAACUUGUUCCUAUUGCUUCCAAUAAACUUGUGAGGAAUAGAUAAAUAUAAGAUUCUACAUAUGCCAAUUCAGGAAUGACAUGUGAAAUGACUUAGCAGUAUAGAAUGAGUUGUUUUGUUUUUGUCAUAAUAUGCUCCCUUUGACAAAAAAAGAUUAUUGUAAAAGGUAAUGUGAUAAUUCUUUAUACCGGCAAACUACAGACAUUCACAAAUACAAAAUAAAUUGCUAUGAAAU